UGGGGAAUAUUGGACAAUGGGCGCAAGCCUGAUCCAGCCAUGCCGCGUGUGUGAAGAAGGCCUUUUGGUUGUAAAGCACUUUAAGCGAGGAGGAGGCUACUUGGAUUAAUACUCUAGGAUAGUGGACGUUACUCGCAGAAUAAGCACCGGCUCACUCUGUGCCAGCAGCCUUGGUAAUACAGAGGGUGCGAGCGUUAAUCGGAUUUACUGGGCGUAAAGCGUGCGUAGGCGGCUUCUUAAGUCGGAUGUGAAAUCCCUGAGCUUAACUUAGGAAUUGCAUUCGAUACGGGGAAGCUAGAGUAUGGGAGAGGAUGGUAGAAUUCCAGGUUUAGCGGUGAAAUGCGUAGAGAUCUGGAGGAAUACCGAUGGCAAAGGGAGCCAUCUGGCCUAAUACUGACGCUGAGGUACGAAAGCAUGGGGAGCAAACAGG
rnacentral:rRNA from 1 species